rnacentral:rRNA from 1 species
AGAGUUUGAUCCUGGCUCAGGACGAACGCUGGCGGCGCGCCUAACACAUGCAAGUCGAACGAAGUUUCAUAACGGAAGUUUUCGGAUGGAAGAUAUGAAACUUAGUGGCGGACGGGUGAGUAACACGUGAGCAACCUGCCUUUCAGAGGGGGAUAACGUUUGGAAACGAACGCUAAUACCGCAUAACGUAGUCAAUCGGCAUCGAUUGACUACCAAAGGAGCAAUCCGCUGAAAGAUGGGCUCGCGUCCGAUUAGA